AUGACAAGUCUACCAAGGGAGAUUGGGAAAUUGCAGCGUUUGAAAACACUCAAGGCGUGUUGGACAUGGAUCACAGAGCUGCCUCGUGAGAUGGGGAACCUCCAGAAUUUGGAGACUCUUGACCUGAUUUACAGCCGCGGGCUCACAGGACUGCCUCGUGAGAUUGGGAAUCUGCAGAAUCUGGAACAACUGCUCUUGAGUGCUACGGGGGUGGUAAAGCUACCAAGAGAAAUUGGGAGGCUGAAGAAGCUGAAGACUUUGAAAUUGAGUGAGACCAUCGCUGUACUACCCUGGGAGGCAGGCCAGCUUUCAGAAUUGGAGGGAGUGCCCGAGUGCAUCCGCAAAGCUUGGAAGAAUAGUGAUUUUGUGUCUGAGUUAGCCGGGGAGAUCCUGUCGAUUGAACUGGUUAGAUGGGAUGGUGAUCCAAAGGGGCUAAUUGUUGGUACAAAACACAUGCACAUUCCCCAGUGGAUCAAGGAUCACUUCAACGACCUUGGGUCGUUGGAUAUCAGGAUAUGCAAAUUGGAGGAGGAGCAGGAUCUCAAGAUUCUGCGGGAGAUGCCCAAGCUACAACAUCUCACGCUAAGGUUGGAAGCCGUCCCAAGGAAGCCCAUAGCCAUCAGCGCUGAAGGGUUUCCAAGGCUCCAUCGUCUCUAUGUUGACAGCCGCGUGCCACCGGUUAUCAUCUUCCAGGAAGGAGCGAUGCCGAGGCUGUUUGAACUCCGCUUCGAGUUCCAGUUCUACGGUGGCCCGCCUCCGCCUGCAAAUAAAGAGGCUCAGCUGGGUAUCAAACACAUCCGGUACCUCCUCUCGGUCGAAUUUAUAUGCAGCCAGGAAUGGUAUGGAGGAGCAGAAGAGAGCAGGAGCCCGUGCAUGAGCGCCAUGAUUGACGUGGUGAGGAAAGAAGCCCAGGAGCAUCCCAACCAGAUCAGCUUUCAUGUCUCUGGCCGCGAGAGUGAGCUUUUUCCAAAGAAGGACAGGUUGGCAGGGCAGGUUUCCCUGUUCAGCAGCAGCAGUGGGAGUGGCGCUGAGAAUGAGAUGAAGCGUCCUGAGGAGAAGAAGAUCUUGGCACAGGAGGUUUCCCUGUCCAGCAGCAGUGCGGGGACCGGCCCUGAGAUCAAGUAG
rnacentral:rRNA from 1 species